rnacentral:rRNA from 1 species
GACGAACGCUGGCGGCGCGCCUAACACAUGCAAGUCGAACGGAGCUGAGAGAAGCUUGCUUUUCUUAGCUUAGUGGCGAACGGGUGAGUAACGCGUGAGUAACCUGCCCUGGAGUGGGGGACAACAGUUGGAAACGACUGCUAAUACCGCAUAAGCCCACGAUCCGGCAUCGGAUUGAGGGCAAAGGAUUUAUUCGCUUCAGGAUGGACUCGCGUCCAAUUAGCUAGUUGGUGAGGUAACGGCCCACCAAGGCGACGAUUGGUAGCCGGACUGAGAGGUUGAACGGCCACAUUGGGACUGAGACACGGCCCAGACUCCUACGGGAGGCAGCAGUGGGGGAUAUUGCACAAUGGGGGAAACCCUGAUGCAGCGACGCCGAGUGGAGGAAGAAGGUUUUCGGAUUGUAAACUCCUGUCGUUAGGGACGAUAAUGACGGUACCUAACAAGAAAGCACCGGCUAACUACGUG